rnacentral:rRNA from 1 species
CCUACGGGUGGCAGCAGUAGGGAAUCUUCCACAAUGGGCGAAAGCCUGAUGGAGCAACGCCGCGUGGAUGAAGAAGGUCUUCGGAUCGUAAAACUCUGUUGUUAGAGAAGAAAGUGCGUGAGAGUAACUGUUCACGUUUCGACGGUAUCUAACCGGAAAGCCACGGCUAACUACGUGCCAGCCGCCGCGGUAAUACGUAGGUGGCAAGCGUUAUCCGGAUUUAUUGGGCGUAAAGGGAGCGCAGGCGGUCUUGUAAGGCUGAUGUGAAAGCCUUCGGCUUAACCGGAGUAGUGCAUUGGAAACUGGGGGACUUGAGUGCAGAAGAGGUGAGUGGAACUCCAUGUGUAGCGGUGAAAUGCGUAGAUAUAUGGAAGAACACCAGUGGCGAAAGCGGCUCUCUGGUCUGUAACUGACGCUGAGGUUCGAAAGCGUGGGUAGCAAACAGGAUUAGAUACCCGAGUAGUC